GAUGAAGAACGCAGCGAAAUGCGAUAGGUAAUGUGAAUUGCAGAAUUCAGUGAAUCAUCGAAUCUUUGAACGCACAUUGCGCCCCUUGGUAUUCCGAGGGGCAUGCCUGUUCGAGCGUCAUUUUGACCACUCCCGCUUGCGGGGUCUUGGGCCUUCGCCUCUGGGCGGGCCUUAAAAUCAGUGGCGGUGCCGUCCGGCUCUAAGCGUAGUAAAUCUCCUCGCUAUAGGGUUCCGGAGGGAUGCUGGCCAACAACCCCCAACUUUUAAGGUUGACCUCGGAUCAGGUAGGGAUACCCGCUGAACUUAAGCAUAUCAAUAAGCGGAGGA
rnacentral:misc_RNA from 1 species